GAAUAUUUAUAACGUCAUCUUUGGAUAAUGUCACAAUUAUAAAAUCAUUUCCUGUUUUAAUAUCGGCAAUCAUAUUUUAUUUUAAAUAUCAAAAUUCUUGAAUUACCUAAAAUGCCCUUGAAAUAAGAUACUAUUACUUUCACCCAAAUCAAUAGAUUUGCUCCUAUCCAAAUACCUAAUUUAUCGUUCUCCCAAAUCGUGAGAUUUGAACCACCGGCGAUCGUUCAGGCAGCGGCGGUGACGGACGGCGACUAGGUGAAACCCAUCUCCCUAGUUGAUCAGGCGGCAAUUGCUACUAUGCGUGUAACCGAAGCUCGUUCUCUGCAGGCGGCAACUGCUUUUUUUACUUUUUGGACUGAAGAAGUUCUCCCAGGUCGGGCGGAGUAUUGGGAAAACAGUCACGAGAAGUUUUGUUUCUUUUAUUUGAUUUUUAAUUGUUUGGUUGAUAUGUGUUCACUGGUUUUGAAUUAGUCUGUUUUGUUACUCUUGGGUAUACUGAUGUACUGCAUAAGGAGGAGCAGACCAACAAUGCCCUCUGCCAUGGUUUUAACAUUUGAUUAUUUGCAGGCGGCAACUGCUACUGUGUUCACUGGUUUUGAAUUAGACUGUUUCGUCCCUUUAUGUCCUCUGUUAUGGUUUUAACAUUUGAUUGUUUUAGGUAUUGAUCGGUACUAGUAUGAGAAAUAUUCAUAUGUAAUUUCUCUUUAUUUCAA